CCUACGGGGGGCAGCAGUGGGGAAUAUUGCACAAUGGGGGAAACCCUGAUGCAGCGACGCCGCGUGAGUGAAGAAGUAUUUCGGUAUGUAAAGCUCUAUCAGCAGGGAAGAAAUAGCGACCUUUGGGUCGCCAGACGGUACCUGACUAAGAAGCACCGGCUAACUACGUGCCAGCAGCCGCGGUAAUACGUAGGUGGCAAGCGUUAUCCGGAUGUAUGGGGUUUAAAGGUUGCGUAGGCGGGCUGUUAAGUCAGCGGUAAAAGCCCGGGGCUAAACCCCGGCGAGCCGUUGAAACUGGCUGUCUUGAGAUGUCGAGAGGGAUGCGGAAUGCGCAGUGUAGCGGUGAAAUGCUUAGAUAUUGCGCAGAACUCCGAUUGCGAAGGCAGCAUACCGGCGGCGAUCUGACGCUGAGGCACGAAAGCGUGGGUAUCGAACAGGAUUAGAUACCCCAGUAGUC
rnacentral:rRNA from 1 species